rnacentral:rRNA from 1 species
GAUGAACGCUGGCGGCGUGCCUAAUACAUGCAAGUCGAGCGAACAGACGAGGAGCUUGCUCCUCUGACGUUAGCGGCGGACGGGUGAGUAACACGUGGAUAACCUACCUAUAAGACUGGGAUAACUUCGGGAAACCGGAGCUAAUACCGGAUAAUAUAUUGAACCGCAUGGUUCAAUAGUGAAAGACGGUUUUGCUGUCACUUAUAGAUGGAUCCGCGCCGCAUUAGCUAGUUGGUAAGGUAACGGCUUACCAAGGCAACGAUGCGUAGCCGCCCUGAGAGGGGGAUGGGCCCCACGGGAAAUGAGAACCGGCCCAACCCCCUAGGGGAGGCAGCAGUAGGGAAUUUCCCGAAAUGGGCGAAAGCUUGACGGAGCAACGCCGGGUGGGUGAUGAAGGUCUUCGGACCGUAAAACUCUGUUAUUAGGGAAAAACAAAUGUGUAAGUAACUAUGCACGUUUUGACGGUACCUAAUCAAAAAGCCGCGGCUAACUACGG